GACCGUCGUGAGACAGGUUAGUUUUACCCUACUGAUGAAUUUAAUCUUCCAUUGUUAUCGUGAUAGUAAUCCAACGUAGUACGAGAGGAACUGUUGGUUCAGAUAAUUGGUAAAUGCGGUUGUUUGAUCAGACAGUGCCGCGAAGCUACCAUCUGUCGGAUAAUGGCUGAACGCCUCUAAGCCAGAAUCCAUGCUAAUUAAACGAUGACUCAACUUCCACUUAGAUUUCCUCUUUUUACAUGAGUAUCAAUAGGUUCCGAGGGCUGCAUAGCAUCUUCGGGAGUUUUGAACUAGCUUUCGGGUUGGUGAUCACUCCUUGGAGACCUCUUGGAAUCCAACAUCCUUAUCAUUGAGUUGCCGGGUGGCUGAUCGACUCUGGUUGGUCAUCCUAUGAACUCUGAAACAUAAUUACAAAUGAGAGGAAAACUGCAAAUCCUUUGUAGACGACUUAAAUACGAACGGGGUAUUGUAAGAGGUUGAGUAGCCUUGUUGUUACGAUCCUCUGAGAUUAAGCCCUUAUUUG
rnacentral:rRNA from 1 species